UAGUGAUUAGAGUUUGAUCCUGGCUCAGAUUGAACGCUGGCGGCAUGCCUUACACAUGCAAGUCGAGCGGCAGCGCGGGGGCAACCCUGGCGGCGAGCGGCGAACGGGUGAGUAAUACAUCGGAACGUGUCCUGUAGCGGGGGAUAACCUGUCGAAAGAUAGGCUAAUACCGCAUACGACCUACGGGUGAAAGCGGGGGACCGCAAGGCCUCGCACUAUAGGAGCGGCCGAUGUCGGAUUAGCUAGUUGGCGGGGUAAAAGCCCACCAAGGCGACGAUCCGUAGCUGGUCUGAGAGGACGAUCAGCCACACUGGAACUGAGACACGGUCCAGACUCCUACGGGAGGCAGCAGUGGGGAAUUUUGGACAAUGGGGGCAACCCUGAUCCAGCCAUGCCGCGUGAGUGAAGAAGGCCUUCGGGUUGUAAAGCUCUUUCGGCGGGGACGAAACGGUUCGUGACAACACCACGGACUAAUGACAGUACUCGCAGAAGAAGCACCGGCUAACUACGUGCCAGCAGCCGCGGUAAUACGUAGGGUGCAGGCGUUAAUCGGAAUUACUGGGCGUAAAGCGUGCGCAGGCGGCUCCUUAAGUCAGAUGUGAAAUCCCCGGGCUUAACCUGGGAACUGCGUUUGAAACUGAGGAGCUCGAGUGUGGAAGAGGGGGGUGGAAUUCCAGGUGUAGCAGUGAAAUGCGUAGAGAUCUGGAGGAACACCGAUGGCGAAGGCAGCCCCCUGGGCUAACACUGACGCUCAUGCACGAAAGCGUGGGGAGCAAACAGGAUUAGAUACCCUGGUAGUCCACGCCCUAAACGAUGUCAACUGGUUGUCGGGGAAGCAAUUCCUUGGUAACGAAGCUAACGCGUGAAGUUGACCCGCC
rnacentral:rRNA from 1 species